rnacentral:lncRNA from 1 species
UUGUGACCUCUGCCUCCGCCGCCUGCCACAGUGGUUCCGGCACGCUGACUUCGGUUAGCACGGGUCAUUGCUGCUCCAGCCUCCCAGAAGCCUUACUAGCAACCCAGUUGUCCUUCCUCCUGGGAUCCCUGCCAGAGUACUAAAUCUUGUACCCUGGGAGAAUGUUCCCAUAUCGAUCAACUUUCCCUUGCCAAGCUCUGCAUUUCACCCUGUGAGACAGCAGACAUGGAAAUGAUCGUCGUGAAGGAAGUUCGUUCUCACACAUCCCUGAAACAGGACGCGUACAACAUGCAGGGCCAAUAGGGAAGGACCGGGGAUGCUUAGGGGUUAUGAGAAGAAGAGGGAGAGCAGGCCCAGAGCCUUUCCUGGCAUUUUCUCAGGAACGCAUGGAUGAGGCAGGGUCCCACCCUCCCCAGGCAGGUUAUAGAAUAUAGUUAUUGGCCUAAUGGUCUAGAGGGCAGGUUCCAGGUGACUUAAGAUUAAUCAAAAGAAGAAGAUCCUGAGUGGGCCUGACUCAGUCAUUGAAAGUCCUUUAGAAGAGGGCUGAAGGUUUUCCUGGGGUCAUCCUUCCUGCUGGCCUUGAAGAUGCAAGGCACUGUA